UUUCCCUCAGGAUAGCUGGCGCUCUCGCAACCCCGCAGUUUUAUCUGGUAAAGCGAAUGAUUAGAGGUCUUGGGGCCGAAACGAUCUCAACCUAUUCUCAAACGUUAACCCUAUUUUUAAAAUAUAAACACGUGCCCUAAAAGUAAACAAACGUAAUCAGUCAAAUACAAAUAAAAAGAAAAUCAGGAGUGACA
rnacentral:ncRNA from 1 species